rnacentral:lncRNA from 1 species
UCGCUAUGUAUUACAAAAGGUAAAAAAAAUAAACCAAACAAAAAUAAAAAGAAUAUACGAGCGAGACGUUACAGUUAUAAAGGUGAAUAUCGCUUACUUUUAUUUAGCAGAAAUACGGGAGUCGAAGAAAUGAGCUACGUGCUCGGUAUUCUCAAUUUUCUGAAAGCUAGAAGGGAAGUGCUUAUCCUUUUCAUUGAACAGAUCGUUUAAUUAUCGAACGUCUAAUAUAAGAUAAAGAAAGAUUUGACGAAAGAAAACCUACACGAUAUUCUCUCAUCGAUGAUUCUAUCUUCUUUAAUAACAAUCAAUUCACGCAGAACGAAUCAUUCAUUCGAAUAUUCGAUCGAUUUGAAUUUACAAAAAUAUUUAAACACCUCCCUCUUCCGCUGCAAAAGAAAAAAUUAAAUGAAUAUAAUAAUUGUAUUAAAUUAUAAAGGAGAACAAUAUACGCGUUGAACCAUGAUUAACAGUUAUUUGUAUAUCGAAAUAAAAUUGGAAAACUUUCUUUCCUAUUUUCAACGAAUUUUAUUUAAUAUCUGUGCUCGAAUUUGCGUAGUUGCACACGUCACGUGUGUCAAAUGUGAAACGUUUCGUGAAAUACAAAAAUAUUCAUAAAAAUAAAUAAAAACGAGUAGGAUGGGGAGGUAGUUGGAGAAGGGGAGAAAGAAGGUGGGGAAGGAAAUCUGUUGGAAAUUGAAUCAUUUAUAAAAUACAAAGAGCGCACACUCGUAUCCACGCAUUUAUAAAAACAUAUGUUGAGAAUAUUCAUUAAUGUAAUAUCCAAUAAGUAAAUAGGGUCUCAUGAGAGAGAUAGAGAUUAGUUUGCUGUUUGUGGCAAAUUCCAUAUCAGUUAUCAUGUCACCUUUCUGACCUAUGCUCGAAAUGAGGUAUAUAAAGCGAGCUCUGCUUACUUAAAGAAGAUCCUAUCGAGAAUUGACUCUUGGAAAUAUCUUUUAGUGUUUGAAUUUUCAACUUAGGAAGUGUUAAAACAAGUUAAUCAAAUCGAUAUGAAGAUCUUUCACUUUAUUUACUUAUUCCUCGUCAUUUUGACAUACAUUUCUUUCACCAAUGCGGCUUGCACGGAAGAUGAAUGUAAAGCCGCUUGCAAACACGUUGGAAAUAUUCCCGGUGGAAAAGGUGGCAAGUACUGUGUCGAUGGUGCUUGCAGAUGUGCUAUGGUGCGUCCAUAAUGAUUCAAAGGUCUGUUUUUUAACGACGAUGCUUAUCAAUGUAUAUCAAUAAUAGGGAUGAUCAAACGAUACUCCAGUCGUUUGUCAUCGAAAACGUCGUACUAUGUAAAUAAAUAAUUUGAAAACGUAA